rnacentral:lncRNA from 1 species
GGAGGUUCCUGUGCUCACUGCUCUGCUGUGGAAGAGCUCAGUGAAGCAUAUAAUGUGACUGUGGAUAUCCAACAGCUUUAGCUGACAUCUUGAAAGCCAUAAUAAAGGACAAUCCUUGGGAGCUCUUCCAGCGGUCUGCAGUGAAGAUGAAGCUGAGGGCGUGUGUUACAGUCCACAAUGGUCACUUGGUGAGGCUCAUCUGUGCUUGUCAGGAACUGGCUGGCCUCUAUCCCCGGGACCUUGUCCCCACAUUGGGCUAGUCUUUAGGAAGGAUAACAGGAGAGAGACCUGAGCCCUGACCUUCUUCUGUCACCAUCAGCUUGUGACAUCUUCUCAGGCCAGCCCUAGCCAACUCUGUGACUGUUUCCACAGGUGCCGAUGUUGGCAUCAUGUCUAACUUCUGCUGCUUCUCAACGCUGCCAUGAUAAUCUCAUUAGAGAGCAGAUGUGAAGUAUUCGGAAAAAGGCAUCAUGCAAAGAUAAAGUUCACUGUUAUUCAGCCUUUUCCUUCCCAAAUAAAC